UGGUGGCACCCUUUGUGAGGACCAAGGC
rnacentral:piRNA from 1 species